rnacentral:rRNA from 1 species
GGGUCAGUAGGUUGGUCGUGCCACCGGUACGUACUGGUCUCACUGAUUCCUCCUUCCUGAAGAACCGUAGUGCCAUUAAUUUGGUGUUGCGGGGAAACAGGACUGUUACUUUGAAAAAGUUAGAGUGUUUAAAGCAAGCUAACGCUUGAAUACAUUAGCAUGGAAUAAUGAAAUAGGACGAUCGAUCCUAUUUUGUUGGUUUCUAGGAUUGACGUA